GGCUUCCAAGCUAGGCUACAUGCUACCGUAUGCUACUCGCGGCGCUAUCCCGCGAAAAGUCAACAGCACACCCUGCUGUCUCGUUGCUCCCGGUUGCCGGUCGUCUUACUCAAGGAAUGCCAACAGGACAGAAGCAGAGAAAUGUUACUGAAACAGUGCGAUCUUCCCGCUGAGAGAAUACCUGACUCCUGGCACGGACAUUCCGUCUUCCCCUGGGCAGAGAGCAGAAAGGCACGGAGACAGAGGAAGAGAGGCAACAAGAACCACAACAGGAGUCAGAGGAAGCCGAUUUGACCGACUCCGUGGAUUGGCUGUGCUGGAAGGCCUCCGACACAUCAAAGUCCUCCACUUGUGGCAAGGCGAGACUGCAGCUGGUGGUAGCGCAUCAACAGCUCCGUUUGGACAGGCUGCUGUGCACUCACCUGACACACCUGGGAUUAAGAAAGAAAGGAAAGUUUACCAGGAGGAUUUAACACAGAACAUCAAACAGGAUGAGAGGCACUUUAUGUCAAAGACGAAGACCUUGAAAACAAACUAUUCUUGUAGCUUUUUCCCUAGUGACUCACCUCGUCCCCCAUGUGUGGCUGGUAGUCAAAGCGUGCUGGAGGACAGAAAAUCUGGCUAUGUGUGUCCAUGCACUUCAGCUUGUCUCCUCUGAUGUCCAUGGCAUCUACCGAUCCCUCCAGCAAGUCCAGACCUUCGUGGCGUGAGGUCUCCAGACUAUACUCCGCGGACAAGUAGGUUCUCAAGGUGCGUGCCAGGCUUGCAUGGAAACCUAGGUCGCAGCACUGAGAAACAAAAAGUGUAUCAUACAAUAACUAUGUUUGCCACACAUUUUAAGUUCCAUAAUUUGUCUGAUCUACAAAAAAUUCAGAAAUCUGUCCAUCCCAGUUUCUGAAGUCCAA